UCUUCUGACCUCCAUAGACCCCUGCUAAUGUCAAUAAACUCAUCUAAUCACACCCAAAACUUAUGAUAAAAGUGCGUUCCAGUACUGAAGGAGUUCAGAAUACAAGCAUUGGUGCUGGAAUUCAGAAUAUGAAAGCAUGUCAUGGCACUGAAGGGUUAAAAUUGAAAUGUCAUGAAAAUAUUGAAGUAAAACGAAAAGAAACACAGACAGAGAGAGAGAGAGAUAGAUGCUGUGAUGCUAGAGUGGCUAUUUAACAGUACAUUUUUCCCUCCCCUGUGUGUGUGUCCUGCGUGCUGUGUGUAACCUGCUUCCCCUGUGUGUCCUGCCUGGCCGCCCGUCAGCCUGGGGAGAACCUGUAUGGGGUGCAUCCGGCUGACAUGGUGCUGGAGGAGACAGGGGAGGCACACAUGGCCCUCUGGCUCAACAGUAAUGCCAUGGAGGCUGAGACAAGGCCGCUGCCGGGCCUCAACCUGCGGGCCAUUGGAGGUGUAUAAUAUAUAAGUGUAUUUUGAGGCGCAUCACAGAGCAAGGGACUUGGAUGGAUACAGGCUACUCCUGUUGACUAAGCAGUAAUGUGUCCUCCAGCCAGGCACAGCUCUGGGCCUUGAAGUGUGACCCUGAGCUCAUCCAAAAUGAGCGGGGCAACGUGUGUUUCUUCAGGGACAGCAGAGGGGCACUUGGAGCACUGACGAGUGGGCAGCCAGCACAUGCACACGGUGUGAGCGAGUGCACAAAACUUAUUACAAGGAUCGGAGAGGAGAGAAACUUGACAUUGAUUUGGGUACCAUCCCAUGUUGGUGUGUUAGGUCAUGAAAAAGCUGACCACUUAGCACAAAAUGGAACAGAAAGAGAUCAAACUGUAGAACAAGCUUGUCACAAAUAGAUAAGAAAAUGACAAAUAUACAUGUUGAGCAAGAACAAGGUGCAAUUCUACAUAAAGGCGAAGUGAGCUAGUGAAACAAUGAAACACUACACCAAAGCACAAAGUGGCGCCAAUUUCACAUCUGGAAAAUAUGGAGUCAGCUGGAAAGACAGCGUGUGUGCCGGACUGAGCUUUGGAUACAAACAUUACUGGGAACUGGGCGUGUCAUGUGAGGCUCCGGCCAGGAGGAGUGUCGCCCAUGCUGUGAGCCUGACGCCCACUCCGUGCUGCAGUGCCCCGAGCUGGCAUGUGCCACAAAUAAUGCCAUCCACACCACAUAUGGAUGUUUAACAAUGGGAACAUUACACAACUGCUAUUGCUAUUCAAAACAAAUACAUCAAACAACUUAUACGCUACAUUGAAAACAAGUUAUAUAUGUGUAUAUGCAUAGAAUAGCUAAGUAUUCUGCACUAACAUUACUUAUAUAUUGUAAAUAUAUAUUAUAUAAUUAUUA